CAAUAGCGUAUAUUAAAGUUGUUGCGGUUAAAAAGCUCGUAGUUGGAUUUCUGUUGGGAACGACCGGUCCGCCCAUUGGGUGUGUAUCUGGCUUGUUCUCGGCAUCUUCUUGGUGAACGUUGCUGCACUUGACUGUGUGGAGCGCUACCCAGGACUUUUACUUUGAGGAAAUUAGAGUGUUUCAAGCAGGCAUAUGCCUUGAAUACAUUAGCAUGGAAUAAUAAGAUAGGACCUCGGUUCUAUUUUGUUGGUUUCUAGAGCUGAGGUAAUGAUUAAUAGGGAUAGUUGGGGGCAUUCGUAUUUAACUGUCAGAGGUGAAAUUCUUGGAUUUGUUAAGGACGGACUACUGCGAAAGCAUUUGCCAAGGAUGUUUUCAUUGA
rnacentral:rRNA from 1 species